CACUGAGCUCCUUUCUGCGCGGGGCCGCCCCCGCUGACCCCCAGUCAAGCUUAGCAUUUCUGAAGCUCUUUGCUCCUUUUCACUCUGCCAAGUCUGAACACUUCUACCUACUAAAGCCCAGCCGCUGCUGUCACUGUGCCCAGACCAAGUCACCUUACCUCCACUUAACGGCCUGAUGUGGAGACAGACGGCCAGCAGCAGCUCUCUCUCUGUAACUGGCCUCCGCUCUCUGGUGGACAGUGCGUUCUGCCUGCUAUGUAGGUUAGUGAUUCUUCUGGGUCGGUCCCACCAGCACUGAACCCCAAUCGAUCAGCGGACGUGAGGUGGGAAAGGGGGUGGUUACCAUGGCGACAGCUUUGAUUCAGAGUUUUCUGCUUUCAAUGUCGUAUGGCAUUGAUUUGGGGGAGCCGCGCUUACCAUCACAGGUCAUGACUCUCUUUCUAGACACUGUGGUUAUGUCACUUGUUUACUGCCAGCCAAGGGAUCAGAGAAAUGUGCUGAGUCGGAGACGGGCAGGACCUUGGCUGUGUCACGAGAGGUGUUUGCAGAAGGUCAGCAUCUGCAGAUCUAAGAUUGCGUGCU